GACGAACGCUGGCGGCGUGCUUAACACAUGCAAGUCGAACGGAAAGGCCCUGCUUUUGUGCGGCGCUCGAGUGCCGCACGCGUGAGUAACACGUGAGUAACCUGCCCUUGACUUUGGGAUAACUUUACGAAAAAGGGGCUAAUACCGGAUAGGAUCUCCUGCUGCAUGGUGGUGGUUGGAAAGUUUCGGCGGUUGUGGAUAGACUCGCGGCUUAUGAGCUUGUUGGUCGAGUAGUGGCUGACCAAGGCUUUGACGGGUAGCCGGCAUGGGAGGGUUACCGGCCACAAUGGGACUGAGAUAGGGCGCAGACUGCUACGGGAGGCAGUAGUGGGGAAUAUUGCACAAUGGGGGGAAGUCUGAGGCAGCGACGCCGCGUGCGUGAUGACGGGUUUCGGGGUGUAAACCGCUUUCGCAUGUGACGAAGAGUGAGUGACGGUAAUGGGUAAAGAAGCACCGGCUAACUACGUG
rnacentral:rRNA from 1 species